UGAGGAAUAUUGGUCAAUGGGCGGGAGCCUGAACCAGCCAAGCCGCGUGAAGGAAGAAGGCGCUAAGCGUCGUAAACAUCUUUUGUCGGGGAACAAAGGUCCGGACGUGUCCGGAUGAGAGUGUACCCGAAGAAAAAGCAUCGGCUAACUCCGUGCCAGCAGCCGCGGUAAUACGGAGGAUGCGAGCGUUAUCCGGAUUUAUUGGGUUUAAAGGGUGCGUAGGCGGUCUGUUAAGUCAGCGGUAAAAGCCCGGGCUCAACCCGGCGAGCCGUUGAAACUGGCGGACUAGAGAGGGCGAGAAGUACGCGGAAUGCGCAGUGUAGCGGUGAAAUGCAUAGAUAUUGCGCAGAACUCCGAUUGCGAAGGCAGUGUACCGGCGCCUUUCUGACGCUGAGGCACGAAAGCGUGGGUAUCGAACAGGAUUAGAUACC
rnacentral:rRNA from 1 species